AAAUAUAUUAGUGUAAUUAUAUUCUUGUUAUUAUUACUCAUCAUAACUGGAGUCGUCCUGGGAUUUAUCCACAGAAAAAAACGUCCCAGAAGACAACUUGAAUCAACAACCAGUCUUCCGAACACGGAAGCAGAAGAAAUUGAGCCGUACAGCACCUUCAUGCAGAGAGAGAACGAGCUUUAUUCAACUAUUUUGUAUAGUAACUACUGAAAUACAAACCUCUAAUACUAGUUAUUUAAAUGUGUUCACCGGAGUGGAGAUGAAGUUAGAGAUGCCUUUGUAGGGCUUUAAUUAUACAAUAUACAGUAUAAUGUGAUACAUGUUUUCCUGUUGAAUAAUAAGUGAAACAAAGCCUGAUGUCCACAAGGUGGCACUAUUUUACAUACAUUGGUAUUUCACUCUCCUGUAAGACUGAUCCUUAACGUGUAUUUCAUUCUAAAACA